rnacentral:antisense_RNA from 1 species
GAUAGCCAAAGAUCACCGCAGGAUUCAGGGUCGGAUUCGUAAUCACCCGCACAUCACCACCACCGGGAGCCCAGGUAUCAUAAACGCCGCCGAAGAACAUGGCCUUCAGCACCAGUAGGAGUGCCCCACACCCUAGGACAAUCAGGUGAAAGCCCAAGAUGGUGGUCAUCUUGUUCUUAUCCUUCCA